rnacentral:rRNA from 1 species
GACGAACGCUGGCGGCGUGCCUAAUACAUGCAAGUAGAACGCUGAAGCCUGGUGCUUGCGCCGAGCGGAUGAGUUGCGAACGGGUGAGUAACGCGUAGGUAACCUGCCUGGUAGCGGGGGAUAACUAUUGGAAACGAUAGCUAAUACCGCAUAAGAGUAGAUAUUGCAUGACAUUUGCUUAAAAGGUGCAAUUGCAUCACUACCAGAUGGACCUGCGUUGUAUUAGCUAGUUGGUGAGGUAACGGCUCACCAAGGCAACGAUACAUAGCCGACCUGAGAAGGUGAUCGGCCACACUGGGACUGAGACACGGCCCAGACUCCUACGGGAGGCAGCAGUAGGGAAUCUUCGGCAAUGGACGGAAGUCUGACCGAGCAACGCCGCGUGAGUGAAGAAGGUUUUCGGAUCGUAAAGCUCUGUUGUAAGAGAAGAACGAGUGUGAGAGUGGAAAGUUCACACUGUGACGGUAUCUUACCAGAAAGGGACGGCUAACUACGUGCCAGCAGCCGCGGUAAUACGUAGGUCCCGAGCGUUGUCCGGAUUUAUUGGGCGUAAAGCGAGCGCAGGCGGUUAGAUAAGUCUGAAGUUAAAGGCUGUGGCUUAACCAUAGUACGCUUUGGAAACUGUUUAACUUGAGUGCAAGAGGGGAGAGUGGAAUUCCAUGUGUAGCGGUGAAAUGCGUAGAUAUAUGGAGGAACACCGGUGGCGAAAGCGGCUCUCUGGCUUGUAACUGACGCUGAGGCUCGAAAGCGUGGGGAGCAAACAGG